AUUCAUGUUUACCCAUCUGUCAAUGACUCGUGAAGAAAAAAAGAAAAAAAAAGUUUGGAGUUGUGUGGAGCGGCAACGCGGAAGCAGAAUCUGCGGAAAUUUGCGGAGGAGACCAUUUGCUGGAGCUAGCGUAGUAGUCCUUCUACCACCGCAGCGGUCAGCUAGCAGCCGUCGUGGGCCGUCCGGUUUUCAGCCGAAAAAAAAACCGCUGCAGUGUCGCUGAGCGCCUGUUGUUGGUGUUGAUUGGUAAGGUAAAUAUUCCAAAUUCAGCGAAGAGGAUUUGGUAGCCAGAGAUGCAUUAGCAUUGCAAUGGGACUGCAUCUGUCCAGGACGGAUUACGAGUGAACGUACACUGAGGAACCGCACGCCAGCCGAAGGAAGAUCUUACGGUCGUCAUUCACUUGCUGGAGCUGGCGUGUCACGGGAUCGCUCACAAUUCGCCGAUGGCGAACCGAUUUUUGUCUUCUUCUGCAAUCUUCCCACUACCCGAGACUGCCAAUGUCGAUAAGCUUCAAGAAGGUUGUAUCACCUGGAGCACAACCGGUACCAGGCGGACGAAGUGAUUGUCGCGGAUUUGCCCACCCUGGUGGAAGUUAAGCUGUUCUGCUCUAGGCUGGAAGGUGAAGAUCUAUAUCACAUGGCGCAUAGUGAGAUUCCUCCUGGCCAUGGCUCUCUAUCCGAUCGCGGGACACUUCAUCUCCGAGCACAACAUGUUCACCAAGGGAUUCUUAUACGACUAUAUCACGAAUCCGG